UGAGAAACGGCUACCACAUCUAAGGAAGGCAGCAGGCGCGUAACUUACCCACUCCCAGUUCAGGGAGGUAGUGACAAUAAAUACCUUACAGAGGUCUCGUUAACCGAGAUCUCUCAAACGGAAUGAGUACAACGUGAAUCCUUUAACGAGGAUCGACUGGAGGGCAAGCCUGGUGCCAGCAGCCGCGGUAAUUCCAGCUCCAGUAGCGUAUAUUAAAGCUGUUGCGGUUAAAAAGCUCGUAGUUGGAUAUCAGUGCGUGUCCGGUCCGGUAUGCCUGGCGGUGUCGCUCGCGCGUCACUGCUGGGCUCCCAAAUAUCGGCUGGCCGCAUUCAAUCGUGCCGGAUCCGUCGGCGGGCCGUUCUUCGGAGGGGCCUGUUGGCGGCCGGCGACGUUACCUUGAACAAAUUAGAGUGCUCAAAGCAGGCUCUGUAUGCCUGUAUACAUAUUCAUGGAAUUGGAGAAUACGUCCCUGGCUCGAUUUGGUUGGUUUUGAGAGUCGAAGGGAAAUGAUUAAUAGGGACUGACGGAGGCAUUCGUAUUGCGACGCGAGGGGUGAAAUCCUGUGACCGUCGCACGACGAACUACUGCGAAAGCAUUUGCCGAGAAUGUUUUCAUUAGUCAAGAACGAAAGUUAGAGGUUCGAAGGCGAUCAGAUACCGCCCUAGUUCUAACCGUAAACGAUGUCGACCAGCAAUCCGCAACGGUCACUACACGGACUGUGCGGGCAGCUUCCCCGGGGAAACCAGAGUUUUUGGACUCCGGGGGAAGUAUGGUUGCAAAGCUGAAACUUAAAGGAAUUGACGGAAGGGCACCACCAGGAGUGGAGCUUGCGGCUUAAUUUGACUCAACACGGGACAACUCACCAGGCCCGGACACCGUAAGGAUUGACAGACUGACAGCUCUCUCUUGAUUCAGUGGGUGGUGGUGCAUGGCCGUUCUUAGUUGGUGGAGUGAUUUGUCUGGUUUAUUCCGAUAACGAACGAGACUCUGGCCUAUUAAACUUGACACUGUCAGUCUCUUGUGACUGCGGUGCGCUUCUUAGAGGGAUCAUCGGCGUCCCAGCCGAAGGAAAGGGAGCAAUAACAGGUCUGUGAUGCCCUUAGAUGUUCUGGGCUGCACGCGUGUUACACUGAAGUGGUCAGCGCGCCGUUCAACACCCCUCUCCGUGAGGAGCUUGGGCAAACGUUUGAACCCUUUUCGUGAUGGGAAUUGGGGGUUGCAAUUGUCCCCCAUGAACGAGGAAUUCCAAGUAAGCGCAGGUCACUAGCCUGCGUUGAUUAAGUCCCUGCCCUUUGUACACACCGCCCGUCGCUACUACCGAUGGAUGAUUUGGUGAGGUCGCCUAGACUGGCUGCUGGCUUCGGCCGUGCGGCCGGGAAGACGCCCAAACUUGGUCGUCUAGAGGAAGUAAAAGUCGUAACAAGGUUUCC
rnacentral:rRNA from 1 species